rnacentral:rRNA from 1 species
CGGAGUGGACGCAUCACUGGUGUUCGGGUUGUCAUGCCAAUGGCACUGCCCGGUAGCUAAAUGCGGAAGAGAUAAGUGCUGAAAGCAUCUAAGCACGAAACUUGCCCCGAGAUGAGUUCUCCCUGACCCUUUAAGGGGCCUGAAGGAACGUUGAAGACGACGACGUUGAUAGGCCGGGUGUGUAAGCGCAGCGAUGCGUUGAGCUAACCGGUACUAAUGAACCGUGAGGCUUAACCUUACAACGCCGAAGCUGUU